AUCUCGUGGCGAAAUAUUUAACGCAAGUCAACCUGCGGAACUUGCACAUCGGGAAAGCAUGCAUGGACCCUGUGUGAGUACUACAAAUAAAGCCCGUUUACGGGAACGUAGUUCACAAUCUCCUUGUGCUCUAUCACAGCGCAAGGUUCUUACCAAUGAAGGCUCGAGAGAGUCUAAUCCGUUGCUACCUAAUGUCGUGCGUCGAUGUGUCUAUGAACGCCGCCUCAGAUACAAAACUCGGCCGGAUCGGUAUCAGCUAAAAGAUACAGGCGGUUCUGCAAUUCCAUCAAGCUCUAAGGCCAAGUCCCGGAAGUCAUUAACAGCGGAAACAAAUAUUAAUAAUGUCGUCGAGAAUUUAUCUAAGGACAGAAGCAACCCGUCGUUUCCAUCAACUUCUGCAGGUGUUACUGAACGAGGAAUUCACAAAAAAAAGAGAAGGCAAGGAAUUACACUUGAAACCAGUUUCAAAACUCACAAUGUUACUCAGAGGCGUCUCAGUUUACCGGUGAAUUAUGGGAUUGGAUUUCUUAACAGAGCGCGAGGCGGGAACAGUGGGGUGCCUGACCUCAGCUUUUCAGGGAUGGAAUUUCUGUCAAAUGGGUUCAAGCGUCAAAGAAAGCCGGAGGAAGCCGGAUGUGUUCAAAUGAAGC
rnacentral:sRNA from 1 species